rnacentral:lncRNA from 1 species
CCACUGCACUCCAGCCUUGGCGACAGAGCGAGACUCUGUCUCAAAAAAAAAAAAAAGUACAAAACCAUAAGGAUUCUGAAUGCUGCCACUCUGGCCAAAAAACUAGGUAUAUCUGAUUACAGGCAAACAAAAAUAAGCAUCUGGAAUAGAGCACAAAAUAUGAUAACCAUUGUGGAGAAGUAAGGGAUGGAGUUAGGUAUACAAGAUUUAACUCUUCACUCACAUUGUAUUAUCUUUCCAUCUUAUAUGUACAUGUUAUAGUUCUAAAACUUUUUAAGGUUAAAAAUCCUUUCUAUCCAUAAACUUUUAAAAACAAAAGGUGAGGGGAAGAAGACAAAUACGAAAACUGCCAUUUUAAACCACUGCUUUCCCAGUUCCCUGAUCAUUUCUGUCUCCCUGGGCUGCCGUGCUUUGUGUCAAGUCAUCAACUUCUCUGUUUCAGCAUCGAAAUAUCCCAGCCUCCCAGGAUACCAAGACCCUUCCCAGUUCCUCAAGUUAAAAUCCUGCUGAUUCCUGUGCCCACUCUAAGCCCCCUCUCCGCAUGCCUAGAUUACAACAGUAGCCUAUAAGUUGAGUAUUUACAGAUGAUUUUCCAUAUGUGUAGCCCUGUCCUCAUGCCUCUAUUUGCACAAGGAGCAGAAUAAGCUACAGUCCUGGACCACAGGCAGCUUGGUAUUGGAACAUAAGGGGGUGGGGGGUGUGUGGACAUGUGUAUUUGAAUGUGUGUGUGUGUGUGUGUGUGCGCGCACGCAUGUGUUGAAGAGCAGGAGUUAGAGGGUGGUAAACCUGUGGUAACAAAAUAAGUCUGGUAAAGUAUGGAAGGCCUCUAUGCUUUUGUAGAUGUUGAGCAGCUUUUGAAGGCUUUUUAGCAGGAAUGGCAUGAAAUAUCUGAACUUUAAAAAAAUCAUUAUUCCCCUAUUUUACAUUGUAUAUGCUGUCCCUUGGUGCCUAUUCCUCCGCAGUUUGGAGUAUCCUAGCACCUCCUUUUUCAAUAGUUUAUUUUAAAAUCUGGGUUAAAAUGCAAAACAAGAAAACCUAUCCUAUUCUUAUCCCCCUAAGUCCACAGACCUUCAAUACUCUUGCCUUCAUUGUGAUAUCUACUUUUCUACUUCUGGUAUUACUUAAUUGCUCUUCUAUCACAGGGGCAUGAGCUCUCUCACAUCCAUCUACUUCAUGAAGUCCAAAAGGUCAAGAUUCCCCUCUCCAAACACACACAAUUCAGGCUUUGAUAAAACAGAGCCUCAAUCAAUGUUCAUUGCUUGAUAUUUAAAAUAUAAACCCCUUACCCUAUAAAUCAUAUACUACUCCAUAAGCUGACUUGGUCUUUUUCCAUAUUGAUUCCUAAUACCCAACAAGAGAUUAAAUUCAUGGCUGGGUCAAGUCCUAAUGACCAUGGUGCAUAUUAAUUGGUUUGCUCUGAGAUCAGACAGGCAGGGUACCACCAUUCUAUUGGUAUAUACUAAACAAGAAAUAGAAACAAGGUAAUAUGGCCACAUAUUCCCUAAACUCUGCCCCCUUUUGGGAACCCCUAAUAAUUAAGCAGCCAUAGGUAUAAAAUCAAGAGAGCACCUGGACUUACAGAAAAUAAAAAGUACAGAAAUAAAGUAAAUUACAGGGUUUUCCAGUAGAUUGGCACACGGACCACCUAUACUGCUGGGUAUCAGGAGGUUACCAGUAAAGGGAUAAUGAAUGGUAUUGUCUAUCAAUUAUUGACUCAAGCUACUGACAGGCCAAGCUUACCAGUCAUAAAGUGUUUCUAUGGGAACAAAGUCAGGGGAGAGGAGUCCAGAGAGCCAGCAAGUUCAGAUUUCCACUACCUGGCCAAAUCCUCCUCAUCUUUCAAGUUGCACUUCUGGAGCCUCCUUUAUUAGUUUUGAUUUCAUUGAUUAUCUCCCUCUAUUCUGAAUUCUUUUAGCACUCAGUUUAACACAAAUACCUAGUCUUUGUACACUGAUGUUUGAUGUUUUGUCUUCUCGACCAUUUAAGCUUUUAUUUAAGACAAAAUCUAGUAAGCAUUUAUCUACUAAACAGUAGCACCAGAGCAACAAUUUGCUAUUAGGAAGAUGAGAGGAACCCAGUGCUGCUCUCACGGACAUUUUUCCAUUAAUGAUGAGUGUAUUAGCUGCAUAACUAGUGGGCAAAGAAGUUUUCUGGCCAACUUGAGGUAAACAAAACUGGUAAUAUUUUGAGGCAAUCUAGCAGGUCCCUCUCUGUUGACCACAUCUUAUUAUUCUUCCCUGUAGGGUUACUAGAUUUAGUAAAUAAGAACACAAUACACCCAGUUAAAUUGGAAUUUCAGAUACAUGAUAAUUUUUUAGUAUAUGUUCCAAAUAUCACAUUGCACAUAUUCUAAAAAAAAAAAAAGUAUUUAUCUCAAAUUCAAAUUCAAGUCUACAUCCUGUAUUUUAUCUGUCAGCCCUACCUCCACUUCUUAAUGAUCACAAUGUGGAUAUAAGGUGUCUCAAGGCCCAACCCUGUUGUCAUAAAAGCUAGAAGUAAUAGCUUUCAUUUAUUGAGGGCCUAUGAUGUGUCGAUAACAGUAUUAGGAAACCUGCAUAAAAGAUUCAUUUAACCCUUGCAGUAACCCUGUGAAAUAGGUAUAAUUCUUUUCAGAGAAGACAUGUAACAACUAAAAUUCCUCUCCACCUCCGCCC